AGUAAAUGAAAUAAAAUCAAAACAUAUGUUUGUGACAGAGAUGCAGGUUUGAUGUUGUUGUUUCCAAUCGGUGGCAAUGUGAUAUGGCAUUACCGAAGGUGGAGGGCUAUGCCAUUGUUGAGAAAAUAGGCGCUGGAAGUUAUGCUUCAGUAUAUAAAGCGUUUAAAAAAGUUGGUGCAAGAGAGGUAGUUGCUGUGAAAUGUGUGGAUAAAUCUAGACUGAGUGGAUCUGCCAUUGAUAAUCUGGUAACAGAAAUAUCACUGCUGAAAGUCCUGAAACAUAAAAAUAUUGUUGAAAUGAAAGAUUUCAUGUGGGAUGAAAGGAACAUCUACAUUGUCAUGGAGUACUGCAAUGGUGGAGACUUGUCUUGUUUCAUACGCAAACGCAGAAAAUUACCAGAGACAGUAUGCAGGAAGUUUCUACAGCAGCUGGCUGUAGCUCUAAAAUUUCUCAGAUCUCACAAUGUCUGUCAUAUGGACUUGAAGCCACAGAAUCUUCUCCUAACAUCCACUCCAAAAUUAAUCUUAAAACUUGCAGAUUUCGGUUUUGCCCAGUACUUGUCACCUGAAGACUACAACAGCUCUCUCCGAGGUUCACCUCUGUAUAUGGCACCUGAGAUGCUGCUGAAGCGUCACUACGAUGCCUCUGUUGACCUGUGGUCAGUCGGUGUCAUAAUGUAUGAGUGCCUGUUUGGACAAGCACCUUAUUCAUCCAGUAAUUUUAAAGAGCUAGCAGAAAAGAUAAAGAGCGAAAUGCCUAUUGAGGUUCCUCGUGGUGGGUGCAUUUCAGAUGAAUGCAGAGACCUGCUUGUUAGACUUCUUAAACAUAAUCCCUCUGAGAGGAUUGAUUAUGAGUCCUUUUUUAAUCAUCCUUUCCUUGACCUGGAACACAUGCCAUCACCAGAAUCCUAUCAGAAAGCUGUGGAGCUGGUACAAAAGGCAGUGAAAUGUGAUGCUGAACAGAAAUUCAGCGAGGCAUUUGACCUUUAUUGUGAAUCCUUGAGGUAUUUUGUUCCUCUUGUGAAUGAUGAAGAUGAUACCAAGAAAAAAAUAGCCUUUCGUAAUAAGGUAAAUGAAUAUAUAAGACGAGCAGAAGACCUGAAAACACUUCUGUAUGAGAAAGAAAACAACUGUAAACACCCCAAGGGUCAACAUACCACAGAUGGAACUUUAGAAGAACUAAUGCGAUUGUGUGCGACAAACUCCACAAUGCAAACUGCUCUGGAAAUUGGUGCUUCUGCAGAGCAGUAUUUGAAAGAGGGACAGUACUCACAUGCAUUGGAAAAAUUUCAAUCUUGUCUAGGUUUACUUGUGCCACUGCUGAGCAGUGAACCAAAAGGAAGAAGACGUGACCUCUUACAUACACAAGUGCAGCAGUGGUUAACACAAGCUGAAAACAUUAAGUCUUUCUUAAAUCUCAUUAGUAUCACUGAUGACACAGCAGCACUUUCUAAAGAAGCCUGUAGUAUACAAUGAAGUUCAUUUGAUGAGAACUGAUGGAGUGUUAUCUAGUUACAUCCAGAAUUCUUUUGAAACCACAAAUUGAUACCACAAAGUAGGACACUUUAUAAAGCUUUCAGAAUAGUCACUGAUGGUAAUUCUUUGGGAUGACAACAAUUUUCUUUAAAUUACUAAGAGGUCCAGCAAGCGAGUGCAAUUUCCUUCUACUGCCCUGCAGCACUAGUGUUGCAGUUCCAUGCAUCUCUCAGGUUCAUUGUCUUUCCACUGGCAUCAUUACAACUGGACUGUGUUGUAUUUACAUUUGUUAGAGAUCAUUCAAAAUGUUUAAAGACAGACUCUGAGGUCACAAACUGUGAAGUGCAUUCUGUAAUAUGGUUUUUGAACAAAAAUAAUGUUAAGCCAGCUGAAAUUUAUCAUCAGCUUGUAGGCACUUAUGGUGAAAAUGUAAUGACUGAUGGAAUGGUGAGAAAGUGAAAAUGAUUCAAUGUUGGAUGAACCAGUGCUCAUGACUAAGCACAGUGCGGAUGGCCUCCUGUUGUCAGUGAUGGUCUGGUUGAAAAAGUGAAUGAAAAUAUGACUAUUCACAAUAAGAAUGCUUUGUGAUUAGUUUCCUAAAAUUUCAAAAAUCGUUUUGCUUGAGAUUGUCACAAAUUGUGUACUGUUGGUUUUCGAGAAUGCUUACAGACGUCCACUAAAUGAAGUGACUUGGCAGUGCUUUGAAAUUUAUUACCUGAUACAAUGAUGGGGGAGACGAAUUCUGAAACAUAAUUGUGACCGGUGAUGAAACUUGGGUUUUAAUAUUGCUUCAGAAUCAAAAUAAUAGAAACAGAGUUGAGGCAGUCAUGAUACUUCAAAACAUUUUCAGCACAAAAAAUUGUGCACAUUGAUGUGACAGGGCAUUCUGUUUGUUGAAUUCCUUCUCAAGAUGUGAAACUGUAAAUGCAAUGAGAUACUGUGAAACAUUGAGAAAACUUCGGCAUUGCUUCAUUCGAGCAUUCAUCGUACAGUCCCAAUCUCACACCUAACUACCACUUGUUUUUGAACUUGGAAGUGUGAUUUUGGAGGAAGGCGCUUUUGACAAUGACGACAUGGCAGAAAACUGUGUGUAGCAGUGGCUGUCUUCACUGGUGAUCUUUCUCUGAAGAGGGCAUAGAAAAGUUAGUUUCCCGCUGUCACAAAUGUCUCAACAGUGGUGGCAACUAUAUAGGAAAAUAAUUUAAGAAAUGCGUUCUUGUAAAAGUAAGUUUUAGUAUGAAAUAAUGUUUACUUACUUUAUGGACAUGCUUUGUAAUACGAAACACAGAUAAAAAUAAAAAGAAUCUGUUAAUGGAGUUACAGCUGUGUCGCAGUAUAUGGCAAUGAAAUCAAUUAUUGAUUGAAUAAUUUCGUAUACAUCCACCACAACCAAUGAGCACUUCUUUCUUAACUUGUGAUCACCCCACGUACACUAGAUUUUGGGUUUGGAGCCAAAUAGUGUUGACUUCUUGCCUUCAUAUUUCGCAUGACAGCUUUCAUCAGAUGAUAUAACUGGAAAUUAUAACUGCAUAUCUACACCUAUACCUAGCAAACCACCAUGAGGUGCAUGGCAGAGGAUACAUCCCAUUGUACCAAUCAUUAGGGUUUCUUUCCAUUCCGUUCACUUAUGGAGUGCGGGAACAAUUAUUGAAUGCCUCUGUGCAUGCAGUAAUUAUUCUAAUGUUAUCCUCACAAUCCCUACGUGAGCAAUAUGCAGGGUUUUGUAGUAUAUUCCUAGUCAUCAUUUAAAGCUGGUUCUUGAAACUUUGUUAAUAGACCUUGUCAGGAUGGUUUACAUGUAUCUUCAACCAGCCCAGUUCCUCCACUAUCUCUACGAUACUCUCCCACAGAUCAAACAAACCUGUUACCAUUCGUGCUGCUGUUUUCUGUAUAUAUCCCCUGUGAGUCCUAUUUGGAUGGGUCCCACACACUUGAACAAUAUUCUAGAAUUAGUCACACAAUCUGUAUGCAAUAUCCUUUUAGUCUGAUUCCACUUCCCCAGCAUUCUGUCAAUACAGUGAAGUCUACCAGCUGCUUUACCCACAACUGGACCAAUGUAAUCAUUGUGUUUCAUAUCCUUAUAUAGUUUAUUAAAAAAAAACUUCAGACUGUGGCACAAGUUAAUAACUACUUGCUCGAUUUUCUAUGUUGAAUAUUAGUGAAGCUAAGGCGCACAAACACACCCUUAAAAAUGCUGAUUUGACACCUACUGCUACGUGCAGUAACAAUCAAUUUGAUAAACUUGAUGAUGGCGUACAUGCAAUAAUACCAAUAUGUAUAGGUCAACACUCAAUAGAGGGUGGUCUUGUAGCAAGAGCUAGGUGCAGGUACUGCCAAGUCAAUUUUUUGCAUUAACUUAGUGGCAUGCACCAGCCAUUUCCAGUUUUAAUGCUUCAGCUGAAGAUGGCUCCCUAGCUGUCAGCCAAAAUGUCAUAACAAUAACUCAGUGUCGUCCAACUUCAGUCUUGCAGCCUCUGUGUGUUAAUCUAAAAACAAAAGUGCUGGCUUAAUAAACAUGUGUUCACCCUUUGUCAUCUUAUGUAACAUACCCAAAGUACUCAGCAGACGUGAGAAGUAAAAAUAUUUUACACAUUGCAGAAGCCUUUCUAAUGAUGUUGGAAAUCUUACUCCUUUGCUAAAAAAAAAUUGCUCCGUUGUAGUUUUUGUUGCUGACAAUAAUAGUAUCUGCUGAGCUGUGAUAUACACAAACUAUAACAUGUAAUUAUUUCGAUGUCUACUUUGCCUCACUAAGGUUUGCAGUACUGUUAUGCAGUCUCUUGUGAAGAUAAUAUUCAACAAGCUCCCAUCCAUGAGGAAAUUGGGAAACCCUGCCAGUUCAAAGGAAACUAAAAAAAACAUUCUUCAUUCAUCACUCUUUCUACAGAUUAUCGAGUGUCAAGGAAUGGAAAGUUCUGUUAAAAAAAAGAUGACAAUUAGUAAUGUGACUUUUCAUGCUUUCCCAACAGAUCUGUUGCAAAUACAUUUCUUGGGUUUGCUGCCGGAUCAUAUUGUGUAACUCGCAUUAUACAUCAUCGAUGCAAUUGCUCGACGACAUGCUGCCAUCACUGCUGCAAGGCGCAACUGAUGAUAAUCACGUGGCAGAAUCGAAAUUUAUCAUGCCAGAAGCAGGCAACAAUACGUGUGUGCGGGAAGGCCAUGCACACGUGCGCUAUGGGCAAUGACUGUGCUGCUGGACACUCCUACGGUUAAAGGCUGAACUAAAUCUCAGUAGCACAUUGCAUCAUGUAAUGAAUCGGGAGUUCUUAUUCUCCCUGUUUUGAUUUAAUGGCAGCCUUUGCUGGAUUCCAGGUGGCGCUUAGAUGAAAACCUGCAUCCCUGUUGACAAGACUGUCCAGCUUACGAAUAUGUAGGGGCCUCCUUAACAACACAGUCCCAGAUAGAUGACCCUGAGAAUAAAAGCCUACGUCAACAAGCUGCAGUUCCUCCAAGACUGUAUGGCCUACGUAAGAUACAUUAAGGAUGGGACUCCUCUUCACCUAAUAGUGAGUGACAUUGGAGCUCCUACUUACUUUCUGGCCAAACAUCUUACUACACUGUUGGGACCUCUCUCAUAGGCAAGUGUGAUCAACCAUAUCCAGAAUUCAUAGGACACCUAAAGACCUUCAGCUACAAGCGUUGGAUAUUUUGGUUAAGUUUUGACCUUUGUUUAUGGAAGUACCCCUGCAGGACUCAUUAGAGCUUAUCAGCAGCCAAUGUCAUCAUGGCAUUAUUUGAACACGUGCUUACCUCAACUUAUUUCUUAUUCAGUGACCAGUAUUUUGAACAAGUGGACAGUGUCGUC